rnacentral:rRNA from 1 species
UACAGAGGUCCCAAGCGUUGUUCGGAUUCACUGGGCGUAAAGGGUGCGUAGGUGGUCGGGUAAGUCUGAUGUGAAAUCUCCGAGCUUAACUCGGAAAUGGCAUUGGAUACUAUUCGGCUGGAGGUUUGGAGGGGGACUGGAAUUCUCGGUGUAGCAGUGAAAUGCGUAGAUAAUCGAGAGGAACACCAGUGGCGAAGGCGAGUCCCUGGACAACACCUGACACUGAGGCACGAAAGCUAGGGGAGCAAACGGG